UCUGGUGUUGAAAUUAGCAUUGUUGGAUCACUUAGUACACUCGCCGACAUGGUUUCUUAGAUUUUGGAAGAAAAAACCCUGUUGAGAGAAUUUAAUCAACAAGCCGAUCCCAACUUGAACUCAAAACUAUAAACAGAUCAAGAAGAGAAACUUUACCAGUGGAAGGAGAUGAGAAAGACAACGCAAGUUUUUGCUAGUGAUCUUCUUGAUUUGUCUCUGUUUCUGAAACAGAGGAGAAACUCUUAAAAAGUAAAAAACCUUUUUUUUGUGUGUUUUUUCUUAUGUUUCCUACGGAUUAUAACUCGUUUUUCCACUCUCCGUCUUCUAAAUUCCCUUCUUCUCCGAGAAAAAUUUCACAAAACAAAACCAUUGUAAACACAGAGUUAAUCACACAAAAAACACACACAAAAUAUAGAAUCUGUCUCUUUUUUUUUCUUUUUUUCUGGCUUCUGUUGAUAUCAAAAUUAGGAAAAAUUUACCCUUUUAGUUCACCAAAAACUCGUUUCAGAAAGGAAAAAAAAAAGAUAAGAAUUGGGAAAUAUAAGAAGAGAGAAUGAGAGAGAGAGAGAAUGUGCAGGCGAAGGAGAAGCAAUGAUUGG
rnacentral:lncRNA from 1 species